UGGGGAAUAUUGGGCAAUGGGCGCAAGCCUGACCCAGCAACGCCGCGUGAAGGAAGAAGGCUUUCGGUAUGUAAAGCUCUAUCAGCAGGGAAGAAAAUGACGGUACCUGACUAAGAAGCCCCGGCUAACUACGUGCCAGCAGCCGCGGUAAUACGUAGGGGCAAGCGUUAUCCGGAUUUACUGGGUGUAAAGGGAGCGCAGGCGGUUCUGCAAGUCUGAUGUGAAAGCCCGGGGCUCAACCCCGGGACUGCAUUGGAAACUGUGGGACUUGAGUGUCGGAGGGGCAAGUGGAAUUCCUAGUGUAGCGGUGAAAUGCGUAGAUAUUAGGAGGAACACCAGUGGCGAAGGCGGCUUGCUGGACGACAACUGACGCUGAGGCUCGAAAGCGUGGGGAGCAAACAGGAUUAGAUACCCUGGUAGU
rnacentral:rRNA from 1 species